AUUGAACGCUGGCGGCAGACCUAACACAUGCAAGUCGGACGAGUGGCGGACGGGUGAGUAAUGUAUGGGGAUCUGCCUGAUGGCGGGGGAUAAUACCGGAAACGGUAGCUUAUACCGCAUACCAUCAGCUGAACCCAUAUGGGAUUAGCUAGUAGGUAAGGUAACGGCUUACCUAGGCGACGAUCCCUUGCUGGUCUUAGAGGAUGAUCAGCCACACUGGGACUGAGACACGGCCCAGACGCCUACGGGAGGCAGCAGUGGGGAAUAUUGCACAAUGGGCGCAAGCCUGAUGCAGCCAUGCCGCGUGUAUGAAGAAGGCCUUCGGGUUGUAAAGUACUUUCAGUCGGGAGGCGUUGCCGGCAGAAGAAGCACCGGCUAACUCCGUGCCAGCAGCCGCGGUAAUUC
rnacentral:rRNA from 1 species